rnacentral:rRNA from 1 species
GGCUCAGAAUGAACGCUGGCGGCGUGCUUAACACAUGCAAGUCGCACGAGAACGCUUCAGCUUGCUGAAGCUAGUAAAGUGGCGUACGGGUGAGUAACGCGUGGGUAAUCUACCUCUGAAUUGGGGAUAACAUUGCGAAAGCGAUGCUAAUACCGGAUAAUAUCCAUUAAACCUCGGUUUUUUGGAUCAAAGGUGGCCUCUACAUGUAAGCUACUGUUUGGAGACGAGCCCGCGUACCAUUAGCUUGUUGGUAGGGUAACGGCUUACCAAGGCAACGAUGGUUAGCUGGUCUGAGAGGAUGAUCAGCCACACUGGAACUGACACACGGUCCAGACUCCUACGGGAGGCAGCAGUGAGGAAUUUUGCGCAAUGGGGGAAACCCUGACGCAGCAACGCCGCGUGAGUGAUGAAGGCUUUCGGGUCGUAAAGCUCUGUCAAGUGGGAAGAACCCGCGCCGCACAAAUAGUGCGGUGCGCUGACGGUACCACUGAAGGAAGCACCGGCUAACUCCGUGCCAGCAGCCGCGGUAAUACGGGGGGUGCAAGCGUUAUUCGGAAUCAUUGGGCGUAAGGAGCGCGUAGGCGGUCUUCUAUGUCAGGUGUGAAAGCCCGGGGCUCAACCCCGGAAGUGCACUUGAAACUGGGAGACUUGAGUAUGGGAGAGGGAAGUGGAAUUCCUGGUGUAGCGGUGAAAUGCGUAGAUAUCAGGAGGAACACCGGUGGCGAAGGCGACUUCCUGGACCAAUA